UACGUAGGUGGCAAGCGUUAUCCGGAAUUAUUGGGCGUAAAGCGCGCGUAGGCGGUUUUUUAAGUCUGAUGUGAAAGCCCACGGCUCAACCGUGGAGGGUCAUUGGAAACUGGAAAACUUGAGUGCAGAAGAGGAAAGUGGAAUUCCAUGUGUAGCGGUGAAAUGCGCAGAGAUAUGGAGGAACACCAGUGGCGAAGGCGACUUUCUGGUCUGUAACUGACGCUGAGGAGCGAAAGCGUGGGGAGCGAACAGG
rnacentral:rRNA from 1 species